rnacentral:lncRNA from 1 species
GUGCGCUCCCCGCCGAGGCUCCCCUCGACGCCUGGGCCGCCGCGCAACCGCACUGGAGCGGCUUCUCCCGCUGCCGUCUUCGCGCAGGGUUGAGUUUGUGCAUCGAUUGUGAACACAACAGGCAGCAGGCUAUAAUGGUGGUCCUGGCUGGAGUAGUUUUCACAGACUUCAGUAAUCUGUGGAGAUGAACGGGCAGUUCUCUGUAGUUUUCACAGAUCACUGCCAGUUCGUUUUGAGGCCUUCAGGAGUGAAGACCUGGCUCAUCAUCACUCUUUGUUGUUUUGUUAAAUUUAUUUACACCCUACUUUAUUCCAGAGGAAAGGAUUUAACGUAGUUUACAUAAAUGUGUACAUCAGGGUAAAUUAAAAAUAAGUACAGAGAAAAAUAGGACAAAAGAAAACCGUGAGUGUGAAAGAUAAGAUUAAGCCAGCAGUUUUGUAUGCAAAAUGCAUGGUGUAAGGUCCUAUUGGUUUGCUGGAGGUAGGCCACACAUAUGACUCUCAGUUUUCUAGCAACCAAGAAAAAGAUCAGUUGCAAUCGGAGUAGGUGUUUUGGCUAAGCUGGAACUAGGACUUGAAUAUAGCAGCUUGUAGAGUUAUACCACUUGCCCAAAUCUCUUCCAUGAGCCUCUUUAAGUGUAACAGAAUGCCUGGGAGCACGUAAAUGCUCCUACUUAGAUGCCUACUUAGCCUCUAAUUUUCAUGGGGCCCAUGAAUCCCAUGAAAAAGAACUUUGAACCCUGUCCACAAUUAGAGUUCAGGUAUACGCAGACAUGUUUAAAGACAAGGGACACCCAAAGGAAAGAUUGCACAGAGAGAAAGUGAGCAUCCGAGAGAAAAUCACCACAAGUGAGGCAGAGGGAGGCCGGUCUCAGCAGAGUUUUGGAGGUCGUGAGAAGAAGAGGUAGGAGAUAGGAGAGUGGUUCCGAGUACUUGCCUGCUGAUGUUACCUUCUCCACCCCCACCAGGUUUUCCAGUGCCUGGAGUCUUGGGCAGGAAUGGGCCACUGUAAGAAAGAGCUUUAUCACUAGGGCCUCAGCCAACUUUUCUGUGGGAUAUCCCUCCAAAAUAAUUAAGAGUUCAGAAUGCUUCAGAUUUUGAAGUGAAACUGGUACAUAUAUUAAGUGUUACUUAAUAACCCGAUAGUUUCUAGGGCAGCUCACCAUAAUCCCAAGUAUUAGCCACCACCCUCACCCCCUUCAGAGUAAAAUGUGUUUCCUGAAGGAAGUUGGGAAAAUGAAGAAAAAAAAUACAAAAAUCACCUAUAAUCUUACCAGUCAUAGAUGGCAGUUUUCCUGUCUUAUUUCUGAAUAAUGGUUGUUAAACAUUUGCCAGCACACCAUAAGGCUUAGGGAGGCAUCUGGGUCAUGCAUGUUAAUAUCCUUGGGUAAUUCCAGAAAUCUCUAUGAAGGGAAACUCCUGUUAUUUAUCUAGACUUCCUGAUUGCAAGGGGUUUGGGCAUCAUGAUUUAGGGGUCUUAAUAAAAUUAUUAUUUUAUUUUUACUAAUAGAUAAUGUCUGUGCCUAUCAGAUAAAGGCAAACCAGUGCUCAGAGGAACCCAACCAUCUCUGAAUUGAGACCAGAGAGCUGUCUCUAUGGAUAGUCCUUAGAGAAGGCAUUUCGGAACACAGUAAACAGCAGCCUGGUGACUCCGAUUACAGGGCCAGUUGCCUUUGUUACAAUAAAAGCAAGUCAUCUACACAGAUUUUUCCUACCAGGAAGAGCAUGUGCUGACCAACAGACAUGAAUUUCAGCCUGGUAGUUACAACAUUCACAGACAAACUGCGGCCUGGACCAGCUGGUGAAACAUAAUUCUGAAUCCUGCCCACAGCCUUCGGUGGUUUUGGAUGAAAGGCCAGCGCCUUGGGAGCCCUGCGUUUGAUUUCAAGUUUUAAGGCCGGCACUGGUGGAGCAAUGAAUGGUGAAAGCUCUCCCCUUAAAGGAGCACAGUUGCCUUUAGGUGACUGCUAACUCAGGCUUUUGCUGAGGACAGUGUUUACUUUGUGAGCUUAAUGACAGGGCUGGCUUUCUGGGAGUGUUGCAAUGAAACAGACUCAGACACAGGCCAUCAUGGGCCUCCUCCCUAGCAAGGCCGCCACGGCUGGCAUCUCAAGAGCAGUCCGUUGAACUUGGGAUUUGGGUGUGAGACACAGUUUCAUCAGAAGAAUUUAAACCAAAGUCUACAUUUGCCCUCUAGAUAAAUGUGUGUGUUCAGCAGCAACCACAA